ACGGAAGGCGGCAGUGGGGAAUAUUGCACAAUGGGGGAAACCCUGAUGCAGAGACGCCGCGUGAGCGAUGAAGUAUUUCGGUACGUAAAGCUCUAUCGGCAGGGAAGAUAAUGACGGUACCUGACUAAGAAGCCCCGGCUAACUACGUGCCAGCAGCCGCGGUAAUACGUAGGGGGCAAGCGUUAUCCGGAUUUACUGGGUGUAAAGGGAGCGUAGGCGGUACGGCAAGUCAGAAGUGAAAGCCCGGGGCUCAACUCCGGGAUUGCUUUUGAAACUGUCGAACUAGAGUGUCGGAGAGGUAAGUGGAAUUCCUAGUGUAGCGGUGAAAUGCGUAGAUAUUAGGAGGAACACCAGUGGCGAAGGCGGCUUACUGGACGAUAACUGACGCUGAGGCUCGAAAGCGUGGGGAGCAAACAGGAUUAGAUACCCUGGUA
rnacentral:rRNA from 1 species